ACACAGUUAUUUUCAACCAACUGCAAACAAGAGAGAUGAGUCAUCAUCUGGAGCACAUGGAUUAUGGGAGGAUUCCAAAUACCCAUCCCCAGUGCAUAUUCAAAACAUCCCAAGUUUAAAACUGGAAAUGCUGAUUGCUUCAGAGCCACUUAAAGUCAUUCCUUAGAAACAUCAUGCUCUUGCCAUUUUGUGAAAAUAUGUCCAAGAAAUGAAAUGAGUCUGAGCAUUCCUGGAUAUACACUAUAAUUUCUACUAUUUUAAGCUAAACAACAUCAGUUCAAUAGGAUGCAGGGUAAAUGCAAACCUAAAGGAGGUAUGGUUGAGAGAAAUCAUUCUAUAUAUUAUUAGGCAAUAUCCAUAGAAUGUUUUUUUAUAAUUAAAUUCACAUGCAUAAUAUUUUUUUAAUAUUUUUAAUUUUUAACUAUUUUUAUUAUAUUUGAUUUACAGUGUUCUGUCAAUUUCUGCUGUAAAGCAAAGUGACCUAGUUAUACAUAGAUAUGCAUACUUUUUCUUAAAUUAUCCUCCAUCAUGUUCCAUCACAAAUGAUUGGAUAUAGUUCCCUAUGCUAUAGAGCAGGGUCUUAUUGCUUAUCCUCUUCAGUGCAAUAGUUUGUGACUACUAACCCCCAAAUCCCAGUCCAUCCCACUCCCUCCCCAUCACCCUUGGCAACCACAAGUAUGUUCUCCAUGUCUAUGAGUUUGUUUCUUUUCUGUGGAAAGGUUCAUUUGUGCCAUAUAUUAGAUUCUAGAUAUAAAUGAUAUAUGGUAUUUGUCUUUCUCUUUCUGAUUUACUUCACUUAGUAUGAGAGUCUCUAGUUGCAUCCGUGUUGCUGCAAAUGGCAUUAUUUUGUUCUUUUAUGGCUGAAUAGUAUUCCAUUGUGUAUAUAUAUAUACACCACAUCUUCUUGUCGGUGGUCAUUUGGGUUGUUUCCAUGUCUUGGCUAUUGUGAAUAGUACUGCAGUGAACAUACAGGUACAUGUCUUUUUCAAUUAAACUUUUUUCUGGAUAUAUACCCAGGAGUGGG
rnacentral:lncRNA from 1 species